AGUUUGNNUCUGGCUCAGAACGAACGCUGGCGGCGUGCCUAACACAUGCAAGUCGAACGUGAUCCGCCCUUCGGGGUGGUGAAAGUGGCGCACGGGUGAGUAACGCGUGGAUAAUCUGCCCGAGGAUUUGGGAUAACAUCUCGAAAGGGGUGCUAAUACCGAAUAAGCCCACGGGGUCUACGGAUCUUGCGGGAAAAGGGGGGGACCUUCGGGCCUCCUGUCCUUGGAUGAGUCUGCGUACCAUUAGCUAGUUGGUGGGGUAAUGGCCUACCAAGGCGACGAUGGUUAGCUGGUCUGAGAGGAUGAUCAGCCACACUGGAACUGAGACACGGUCCAGACUCCUNCGGGAGGCAGCAGUGGGGAAUUUUGCGCAAUGNGNGAAACCCUGNCNCAGCAACGCCGCGUGGGUGAUGAAGGCCUUCGGGUCGUAAAGCUCUGUCUGGAGGGAAGAAAUGAUUGGGAG
rnacentral:rRNA from 1 species